rnacentral:rRNA from 1 species
AGAGUUUGAUCCUGGCUCAGACGAACGCUGGCGGCAUGCCUAACACAUGCAAGUCGAACGAGACCUUCGGGUCUAGUGGCGCACGGGUGCGUAACGCGUGGGAAUCUGCCCUUGGGUUCGGAAUAACAGUUAGAAAUGACUGCUAAUACCGCAUAAUGCAGCGGCUCGACAUCGAGACAGUUGUUAAAGGAGCAAUCCGCCUUUUGAGCAGCCUGCGGCAGAUUAGCUAGUUGGUAAGGUAAUGGCUUACCAAGGCUACGAUCUGUAACCGACCUGAGAGGGUGGUCGGUCACACUGACACUGAAUAACGGGUCAGACUCCUACGGGAGGCAGCAGUCGGGAAUUUUGGGCAAUGGGCGAAAGCCUGACCCAGCAACGCCGCGUGAAGGAUGAAGUAUUUCGGUAUGUAAACUUCGUAAGAAUAGGAAGAAUAAAUGACGGUACUAUUUGUAAGGUCCGGCUAACUACGUG